GUUCAUGAGCAAGGAUUUAUAGCAGGUCAUUUGAUUUAGGGAUCAAAUCACUUGAAUGAAAACCGGCAUCAUAGCUUAAACCAUUGGAGACUACUUGUUAGAAAACAAGCUUUGAAAUUGAAAACACUCGCACCCCAGUAGUCAGCAAUCAGCAAGGGAGCGUUCAUUUGGUAAACUAAAUCUUAAUACCCUGUUUGACAG
rnacentral:misc_RNA from 1 species